GCCAUGAAUUUAUUUUACAAACAGACUGAUACAGGUUAUUCACAUACAGGGUUAUUCACUAAGGUGAGAAUUCAAGGUGAAUUUCAAAUUCAAGGUAAAAAUAACUGACCUAGAAAAAAGUCAAAGCCGGCAAUGAUUUCAGUUUGGCUACUUUGGCCUCAAAUUUGAAAAUUAAUUUAGAGUAAUUUUCACCUACUUUACAUGGUACAUGUUUUCUAUUUGAAAGCUAGAACAUGGCAUUUGUUUUCAUAUAAAUACACGAAUUUAUAUUUUAAAAUAUAUCGAUACUUUUGGAGUUUACAGUCGAUUAUCUGUGAAUUUCGGUAUUUUCUGCCUGUUGUAGGUCCAGUUGCAGCAUUUCAGCAGUAUAUCCGAUCUAAUACUUGAAUACAGACCAUUAAUCUCAUCUUUAAUUCUUAAUAGGGUUUAUUCACAAAACAUUGUUGUAUUUAGGUGAAAAGUAUCAAAAUUAAGGCUAAAAAAUCUCCAACUGUGCUACGAAGCUAUCGUCACAGCUUGACUGUAUCACCAAGUCAGUUCUCAAUUCUCUGAUUACCAAUAAACCAUACAUUUUUGUUAAAUUAACAGUGAAUUUUCAUAAUUCAUCAGGGAAUUUUAUAUUUAGCACCACAGUAGCUGAAAUAUCAACAUAAUUGAAAUGGAGGCUUUUCC